rnacentral:rRNA from 1 species
CCCUUAGAUGUCCUGGGCUGCACGCGCGCUACACUGACGAACUCAACGAGCUUAUCACCUUGGCAGAGAUGUCUGGGUAAUCUUUUGAAAGUUCGUCGUGCUGGGGAUAGAUGAUUGUAAUUAUUCGUCUUGAACGAGGAAUUCCUAGUAAGUGUGAGUCAUCAGCUCGCGCUGAUUACGUCCCUGCCCUUUGUACACACCGGCCGUCGCUCCUACCGAUUGAAUGGUCCGGUGAGGUUCUCGGAUUUUUUCUGUUGUUUGGUUCGCUAAACGAUUGAAGAGAGAAGUUACCCAAACCUUACCAUUUAGAGGAAGGAGAAGUCGUAACA